GUAAUAUGUCAGCUAGAAUUUGUUUUUUUUCUUCUCUUUUUCUUUUCAAUUCUUCUGUGACUUUGAGGCAAAAACAUAAUAACUUGGCAAACUUUUUUGUUUGCUAGACGUGUUUUGUUUGUUUGUUUGUUUGUUUUUGUUUCUUUUUUGUCUCUGUCAUAUAACUUUAAAAGUUAUGUUGUUUUUUUCUCGAAAAAUUGUAUUAUUCUUAUUAUUUAUUUAUUUUUUACAUUUGUUACUCUAAUUAUUUUGCCUCUUUUCGCUGAAAUAAAC
rnacentral:lncRNA from 1 species